CGCGGGGGGACGGCCCUGCCGGCAGCCUGCCUUGCAGGUGCGGGGAGGGCCUUGAGCGAAGACCUGCCGUCCUCCCGCCGCUCCCCGCCCUGGGCUCCGGACUACAUCAGUGGCCCCAUCCCCCACGCCCUCUGGCUUCCGGGAUCCUGACUUCCUCUAAGGUAAGGGAGGGGGGAGGCAAGGGUGGUUCCCAGCGGUCACCUGGCCAGCCUGGGACCAGAUGUGCAGGGGUCAGCCCUUGAGAGAGUGACACAGGGGUGCAGAGCCUAGAGGACAAGCAGGUGAGCUGUGCGGCAGCAUUUGGGAGUUCAGGACUGAGCUAGAGGGUGGUUUUAGGCACCAUCAGGUAUGGGAGUACUUGGAGCCACAGGGAGGGGGUGGAAGGAAUGAGGUACACGGGGCCAGGAACCCAGAGGAGAGCGGAGAAAGAAAGCAGGGUGAGCGGGGCCACAGUCCCAUCCAAACUGAUCUGUACAUCGAAUACAACUCAGCAAAAGCAGCCACAAGAUGUUGUUUUAAAGCUACAUCAACCAGUUCUAAAGUCCAGGUAGGGAAUAAAGAUGCGGGAAUAAUAGCCUGGAAGUGCCGAACAGACGUGUCCCCAAAGAAGGUGCUCAGCGUCGUUAGUCACAGGGCAGGGCAGGGCACGUCACACCACACGAGACGCCACCUCUGGUUAAAGCUGCUAUCGGAAAAGAUAGGCAGACAGAUAAAAUGAGUGCUGACCAGGAUGUGAAGGAAUUGGAACCGUGUGCACUCUUGGUGGGAAUAUGAAAUGGUGUAGCUGCUGUGGGAAACAUUAUGGCCUCGAAACCUUAAAUCCAGAAUGUUUGUAUGAUCCAGGAUUUCCCCUUCUGAGCAAACACCCGAACAGCCGUGUGUAAGUCUCCACUCACAGCAGCGUUACUCACAGUAGCCAAAAGGUGGCAGCACUCAAACGUCCUCUGAUGGACGAAUGGCUGAGCCCGCGGAGUAUUACUUGGCCUUAAAAAGGAAGUCCUGGCUCCAGCUUCAAGAGGACACUGAGCGACAUAAGCCAGUCACAAAAGGACAAACACUGGGAGUCCACGUCCAUGAGGUCCCUGGAGGGGUCAGACCACAGGGAAGGAA